GGGGAUUUAGCUCAGUGGUAGAGCGCUUGCCUAGCAAGCGCAAGGCCCUGGGUUCGGACCCCAGCUCCG
rfam:Rattus norvegicus chromosome 7, whole genome shotgun sequence.